UGGUCACUCCUUGAACCCGUGUGUCUGC
rnacentral:piRNA from 1 species